AGCGCAUCAUGCUGGACAUCCGAGUGCUGCGCAUAGGCUCUGGGGAUGUACUGACCUUCUACGAUGGGGAUGACCUGACAGCCCGGGUCCUGGGCCAAUACUCAGGGCCCCGUGGCCACUUCAAGCUCUUUACCUCCAUGGCUGAUGUCACCAUUCAGUUCCAGUCAGACCCUGGGACGUCGGCGCUGGGUUACCAGCAAGGAUUUGUCAUCCACUUCUUUGGUGAGCUUGUGCUUUCUGACUUGGAUUGUAGACCCUAAAUCAUGACAAGACAAACGGUGCAGGACAAUGAGGAGGAGUCUGGAUGCCGUCAGGCACGGGGAAUCUGAGAAGGCGCCAUGUAUCACCAGGAGUAUUUGGUUAGAGCAAGAAAGCUCUAGGGAGGAAGUGUAGAGGGACUUCCUAAAACAAAACAAAACAAAACAAAAAACAAAAAUAAAAACAAAAAACAAAAAUAAAAACA
rnacentral:lncRNA from 1 species